rnacentral:rRNA from 1 species
GACGAACGCUGGCGGCGUGCUUAACACAUGCAAGUCGAACGAAAAGGCCCUGCUUUUGUGGGGUGCUCGAGUGGCGAACGGGUGAGUAACACGUGAGUAACCUGCCCUUGACUUUGGGAUAACUUCAGGAAACUGGGGCUAAUACCGGAUAGGAGCUCCUGCUGCAUGGUGGGGGUUGGAAAGUUUCGGCGGUUGGGGAUGGACUCGCGGCUUAUCAGCUUGUUGGUGGGGUAGUGGCUUACCAAGGCUUUGACGGGUAGCCGGCCUGAGAGGGUGACCGGCCACAUUGGGACUGAGAUACGGCCCAGACUCCUACGGGAGGCAGCAGUGGGGAAUAUUGCACAAUGGGCGGAAGCCUGAUGCAGCAACGCCGCGUGCGGGAUGACGGCCUUCGGGUUGUAAACCGCUUUCGCCUGUGACGAAGCGUGAGUGACGGUAAUAGGUAAAGAAGCACCGGCUAACUACGUG